rnacentral:rRNA from 1 species
UACGUAGGGUGCGAGCGUUAAUCGGAAUUACUGGGCGUAAAGCGUGCGUAGGCGGUUCCUCAAGUCCGUUGUGAAAGCCCCGGGCUCAACCUGGGAAUGGCAGUGGAAACUAGGGGACUGGAAUCUGGCAGAGGGGGUGGAAUGCCGCGUGUAGCAGUGAAAUGCGUAGAGAUGCGGCGGAACACCGAUGGCGAAGGCAGCCCCCUGGGCUGAGAUUGACGCUCAGGCACGAAAGCGUGGGGAGCAAACAGG